AUUGAACGCUGGCGGCAGGCCUAACACAUGCAAGUCGAACGGUAACAGGGAUCAGAUUGCUGAUUCGCUGACGAGUGGCGGACGGGAGAGUAAUGUCUGGGAAACUGCCUGAUGGAGGGGGAUAACUACUGGAAACGGUAGCUAAUACCGCAUAACGUCGCAAGACCAAAGAGGGGGACCUUCGGGCCUCUUGCCAUCGGAUGUGCCCAGAUGGGAUUAGCUAGUAGGUGGGGUAACGGCUCACCUAGGCGACGAUCCCUAGCUGGUCUGCGAGGAUGACCAGCCACACUGGAACUGAGACACGGUCCAGACUCCUACGGGAGGCAGCAGUGGGGAAUAUUGCACAAUGGGCGCAAGCCUGAUGCAGCCAUGCCGCGUGUAUGAAGAAGGCCUUCGGGUUGUAAAAUGCUUUCAGCGGGGAGGAAGGGAGUAAAGUUAAUACCUUUGCUCAUUGACGUUACCCGCAGAAGAAGCACCGGCUAACUCCGUG
rnacentral:rRNA from 1 species